rnacentral:rRNA from 1 species
UGGGGAAUCUUGGACAAUGGGCGCAAGCCUGAUCCAGCCAUGCCGCGUGCGGGAAGAAGGCCUUCGGGUUGUAAACCGCUUUUGUCAGGGAAGAAAUCUUCUGAGUUAAUACCUCGGGAGGAUGACGGUACCUGAAGAAUAAGCACCGGCUAACUACGUGCCAGCAGCCGCGGUAAUACGUAGGGUGCAAGCGUUAAUCGGAAUUACUGGGCGUAAAGCGUGCGCAGGCGGUUUUGUAAGACAGAGGUGAAAUCCCCGGGCUCAACCUGGGAACUGCCUUUGUGACUGCAAGGCUUGAGUGCGGCAGAGGGGGGAUGGAAUUCCGCGUGUAGCAGUGAAAUGCGUAGAUAUGCGGAGGAAACACCGAUGGCGAAGACAAUCCCCCUGGGGCCUGCACUGACGCUCAUGCACGAAAGCGUGGGGAGCAAACAGGAUUAGAUACCCUGGUAGUCCACGCCCUAAAACGAUGUCAACUGGUUGUU